rnacentral:rRNA from 1 species
GUCGAGAAUCUUCGGCAAUGGGCGCAAGCCUGACCGAGCGACGCCGCGUGGAGGAUGAAGGCCUUCGGGUUGUAAACUCCUGUCGAGGGGGAGGAAGGCGCAAGCUUGACCGAUCCCUGGAGGAAGCACGGGCUAAGUUCGUGCCAGCAGCCGCGGUAAGACGAACCGUGCGAACGUUAUUCGGAAUCACUGGGCUUAAAGCGCGUGUAGGCGGAUGGGAACGUCGGUAGUUGAAAGCCCCCGGCUCAACCGGGGAAGUGGUGCCGAAACGACCCGUCUGGAGGGACGUAGGGGGACCUGGAACUUCCGGUGGAGCGGUGAAAUGCGUUGAGAUCGGAAGGAACGCCCGUGGCGAAAGCGAGGUCCUGGACGUCUACUGACGCUGAGACGCGAAAGCUAGGGGAGCAAACGGGAUUAGAUACCCCAGUAGUCC